UAUGAUUACCAAUGAUUAACAUUGAUUUUAUUGAUUAUAGUGAUGAAAAAAAAUAAAGAAAAAAACAAACACUUUUUUAAAAGUCUAUAAAUGGACUUAUAAUCUUCUAAAUGUCCAGUGCCAGUGCCCUAAUUUUUGGAUUUGUAUGCACAACCAUAUAUCUAACAACCAAGUCUUCUUUGUUAUUAUACACUUAAUUAUCUAUAUUAAGUAAGAAUAACAUUCAUUGUAUUAAUUUCAGGGUAUUUGACAACUAAUUAAAACCAGCCAUGUUUUGAGUUAGUAUAAGUUUUUUUU
rnacentral:lncRNA from 1 species